rnacentral:rRNA from 1 species
AUUGAACGCUAGCGGGAUGCCUUACACAUGCAAGUCGAACGGAGUGGCGAACGGGUGAGUAAUGUAUCGGAACGUGCACAGUAGCGGGGGAUAACUACGCGAAAGCGUAGCUAAUACCGCAUACUAUUGGAGCGGCCGAUAGCGGAUUAGCUAGUUGGUGGGGUAACGGGUCACCAAGGCGUCGAUCCGGAGGUGGGUUGAGAGGACGACCAGACACACUGGGACUGAGACACGGCCCAGACUCACACGGGAGGCAGCAGUGGGGAAUUUUGGACAAGGGGGGAAACCCUGAUCCAGCCAUCCCGCGUGUGCGAUGUAGGCCUUCGGGUUGUAAAGCACUUUUGGCAGGAAAGCGGUACCUGCAGAAUAAGCACCGGCUAACUACGUGCCAGCCGCCGCGGUAAUUC